rnacentral:rRNA from 1 species
AGUGAACGCUGGCGGUAGGCCUAACACAUGCAAGUCGAACGGCAGCACAGGAGAGCUUGCUCUCUGGGUGGCGAGUGGCGGACGGGUGAGGAAUACAUCGGAAUCUACUCUGUCGUGGGGGAUAACGUAGGGAAACUUACGCUAAUACCGCAUACGACCUACGGGGGAAAGCCGGGGACCUUCGGGCCUUGCCCGGUUGAGUGAUCCGAUGGCGAAUUAUCUAGUUGGCGGGGUAAAGGCCCACCAAUGCGACGAUACGUAGCUGGUCUGAGAGGUGGCUCCGCCACACGGGAACUGAGGCACGGUCAAGACUCCCACGGGAGGGAGCAGUGGGGAAUAUGGGACAAUUGGCGCAAGCCUGAUCCAGCCAUGCCGCGUGGGUGAAGAAGGCCUUCGGGUUGCAAAGCCCGUUUGUUGGGACAGCAAUCCAGCUGGCUAAUACCCGGUUGGCAUGACGGUACCCAAACAAUAAGCACCGGCUAACUUCGUGCCAGCCGCCGCGGUAA